ACGGAACAAGGGCAUCAAAUUGGAAUCAAUAGAUCGCCACAAGAUACUACAUAACUGAGCAUCGACCUUUUCCUACUGUGUUUUGGCCUUUUCAUCACCUUCGAUAGCCCUUUUUGUUAAAUGAGCGUGAACUCCUUGACCUUUACACCACAACUCGACAUACGAAGCCCAAGCUAGGUAGUUUGAACCUCCAUUAAGG
rnacentral:lncRNA from 1 species